AUGGCCACUCUUUCACAUAUACCCAUUUUUCUUCUUUUCUUCUUCUUUUCUUUGUCAUUAUUAGCGAACUGUUGCUGCCAACAACAUUUGAAUUACCAGUGACUGUACUAGACAGUAAAAAAGGCUAUGGCUGUGCUGGUCAGUUGCCAGGUGUGGAUAUAAACCUCCUACAGCAAAGAUAUAAAUAUGAUCAGAGUCUGAAUACAGUAUGAUGCUUGAGACAACGCAGAAACGGCCCCUUGCUGCCUGCACUGAGGAAAGCACAACAUGAAUGCGAAGAAGGCAUACAGCCACAAAAAUAUCCUUCUGCUCCCACUGCCUCUACAGUUUCCUUUGUCAGGAAAGCCCAAGAACUGCUGUGAUUCAUCAGGUGUUGAGCACUUUUUAUGUGUGUGUGUCCUUCAAAUCAUUGUUACAUUUACAUUUGACAGGGAAUUAGGUGGUACAAGGUUGGCAAUUAGUUAUAGGUCCUCUUAUGUUACAGGAGUCCUUAUUGUCCGGCAUCAUUACCCUUAGCAGUCAUUUUCCUUUGUACAACUUGAAUAACUGUCCACUGUCUGCCAUAUAUUUUUGUACCUUAGGUAGCCAUCAAUAUUAUUUCAAUUCUCUCUUUGAUAGUACAUCUAAGAAGAAUAGGCAAUGGAAGCUGGGUAAGCAUUCCAUAAAUAAAAGACACCAUCGCUGCCUGAUGUUAAAAUGCAGAAACAGGUUAACUAUGAUCAUAUUUUCCCUGAUGUGUAGAAUUACGCUCAUGCAAGUAGAGA